GGAGCCAGAAGAUCAAUUCCGAUCGUACAUGACCCUUGCCUUUUACCAGAGUCAUCCGGGAAUUGUCUUUGCAAAUGGCUUUCUUGUCAGUUUUUGGAAACCCAUUAUUAUCUAGCCA
rnacentral:snRNA from 1 species